rnacentral:rRNA from 1 species
AUGGACCAAUCCAUCCCUUUUUCCCGUGCAUAUGCAUCGGACUCGGAUGACGAUGGUCCUGAUGAAGAAGUUGAUGAGGAGGGGUUCACACCGAAGGAGGCCGAAGCAUUCAAGAAGGUAUUCGGGUGGGAUCACAAGACACCAUUGUUCAAGGAUCUUAGUCUCGCGGAUGAAGCCGUUGUGGAUGGUGGAAAAUGCAUAUCUCUUGGAGCUAGGCCAAGUUCUCACCGUGAUUUGGAAGACGGCAAGAACGGGAUAUAUCCCGGUUGUGAGUUUCAAUCCUUCUUGGAAUUGAAGAUGUGA